GAACGCCGUAUGAGGGGAAACUCUCACGUACGGUGUGGAGCGGGGGAAAAGGUGGAGAUUAUAUCAAAGCCUUACCUAUCGCUAU
rfam:Bacillus sp. 2_A_57_CT2 genomic scaffold supercont1.15, whole genome shotgun sequence.